rnacentral:rRNA from 1 species
UAGUCCACGCCGUAAACGAUGGUUACUAGCUGUUUGGACUAAUUAAGGUCUAAGUGGCCAAGCGAAAGUGAUAAGUAACCCACCUGGGGAGUACGUUCGCAAGAAUGAAACUCAAAGGAAUUGACGGGGGCCCGCACAAGCGGUGGAGCAUGUGGUUUAAUUCGAUGAUACGCGAGGAACCUUACCAGGGCUUAAAUGUGGUCUGACAGCUUUAGAGAUAGAGUUUUCUUCGGACAGAUCACAAGGUGCUGCAUGGUUGUCGUCAGCUCGUGCCGUGAGGUGUUAGGUUAAGUCCUGCAACGAGCGCAACCCCUAUCAUUAGUUGCUAACAGGUUAAGCUGAGGACUCUAAUGAGACUGCCGGUGCAAACCGUGAGGAAGGUGGGGAUGACGUCAAAUCAUCACGGCCCUUACGUCCUGGGCUACACACGUGCUACAAUGGCAGGUACAGAGGGCAGCUACCCCGCGAGGGGAUGCGAAUCUUCAAAGCCUGUCUCAGUUCGGAUCGC